AACGCGAAGAACCUUACCUGGGCUCGAACGGCUUCGGACAAUCCUUGGAAACAGGGACUUCCCGCAAGGGACUGGAGUCGAGGUGCUGCAUGGCUGUCGUCAGCUCGUGUCGUGAGAUGUUGGGUUAAGUCCCGCAACGAGCGCAACCCUUGUCCUGUGUUGGCAUGCCGCAAGGCGCAACUCUCAGGAGACCGCCAGCGAUAAGCUGGAGGAAGGUGGGGAUGACGUCAAGUCAUCAUGGCCUUUAUGUCCAGGGCCACACACGUGCUACAAUGGGCGGUACAAAGCGCUGCCAACCCGCGAGGGGGAGCUAAUCGCCAAAAAACCGUCCUCAGUUCGGAUUGCAGGCUGCAACUCGCCUGCAUGAAGCUGGAAUCGCUAGUAAUGCUAUAUCAGAACGAUAGCGUGAAUACGUUCCCGGGCCUUGUA
rnacentral:rRNA from 1 species